rnacentral:lncRNA from 1 species
CAGAGUGCCUCCCCCUCUCUACCUUCUUUCCCUCCCCUCUCUCUCAUUCAGGCUCAGUGCAGGUGCUGCUGUUGGAAGCUUCUCACUCCUUGGGAUCUUUUCAGGGAAACCAAAACUGAAUAAACUGAGAAUUUAGAUGCUCUAAGUGAAAUCCAUCAAGUCAUCCAUGAAAAUGGUGGCCCUAUCCUUAAAGAUCUGUGUCCGCCACUGCAAUGUGGUGAAGACCAUGCAGUUUGAGCCGUCUACAGCUGUGUAUGACGCCUGUCGAGUCAUUCGGGAGAGAGUACCUGAAGCACAGACCGGGCAAGCUUCUGACUAUGGACUGUUUCUUUCUGAUGAAGACCCCAGGAAAGGGAUUUGGCUAGAAGCAGGUCGGACACUGGAUUACUACAUGUUGC